GGGGUGAAGUCGUAACAAGGUAGCCGUAGGAGAACCUGCGGCUGGAUCACCUCCUUUCUAAGGAAUAA
rnacentral:rRNA from 1 species